ACGGAAGGCAGCAGUGGGGAAUAUUGCACAAUGGGCGAAAGCCUGAUGCAGCGACGCCGCGUGAGUGAAGAAGUAUCUCGGUAUGUAAAGCUCUAUCAGCAGGGGAGAAAAUGACGGUACCUGACUAAGAAGCCCCGGCUAACUACGUGCCAGCAGCCGCGGUAAUACGUAGGGGGCAAGCGUUAUCCGGAUUUACUGGGUGUAAAGGGAGCGUAGACGGUUUGGCAAGUCUGAAGUGAAAUGCGGGGGCUCAACUCCUGAACUGCUUUGGAAACUGUCGAACUAGAGUGCAGGAGAGGUAAGUGGAAUUCCUAGUGUAGCGGUGAAAUGCGUAGAUAUUAGGAGGAACACCAGUGGCGAAGGCGGCUUACUGGACUGUAACUGACGUUGAGGCUCGAAAGCGUGGGGAGCAAACAGGAUUAGAUACCCUGGUA
rnacentral:rRNA from 1 species